rnacentral:rRNA from 1 species
GACGAACGCUGGCGGCGUGCCUAAUACAUGCAAGUUGAGCGCUGAAGGCUGGUACUUGUACCAACUGGAUGAGCAGCGAACGGGUGAGUAACGCGUGGGGAAUCUGCCUUUGAGCGGGGGACAACAUUUGGAAACGAAUGCUAAUACCGCAUAAAAACUUUAAACACAAGUUUUAAGUUUGAAAGAUGCAAUUGCAUCACUCAAAGAUGAUCCCGCGUUGUAUUAGCUAGUUGGUGAGGUAAAGGCUCACUAAGGCGAUGAUACAUAGCCGACCUGAGAGGACGAGCGGCCGGAUUGAGACUGAGACACGGCCCAAACGGCUACGGAAGGCAGCAGUAGGGAAUCUUCAGCAAUGGACGAAAGUCUGAGCGAGCAACGCCGCGUGAGUGAAGAGGGUUUUCGGGUCGUAAAACUCUGUUGGUAGAGAAGAACGUUGGUGAGAGUGGAAAGCUCAGCAAGUGACGGUAACUACCCAGAAAGGGACGGCUAACUACGUG